UCCGGUUCAUCACCGGCAGUCUCCCUAGAGUGCUCACCAUGACGUGUUAGCAACUAAGGACAAGGGUUGCGCUCGUUACGGGACUUAACCCAACAUCUCACAACACGAGCUGACGACAGCCAUGCAGCACCUGUCUUCUGGUUCCUUUCGGCACCCCCGCUGCUAAGCAGGGUUCCAGAGAUGUCAAGAGUAGGUAAGGUUUUUCGCGUUGCAUCGAAUUAAACCACAUGCUCCACCGCUUGUGCGGGCCCCCGUCAAUUCAUUUGAGUUUUAAUCUUGCGACCGUACUUCCCAGGCGGAGAACUUAUCGCGUUAGCUUCGAUACCAAACAGCCAUGCUGCCUGACAUCCAGUCCUCAUCGUUUACAGCGUGGACUAC
rnacentral:misc_RNA from 1 species